CCGCCCCUCCAACGAGGCUUUGCGCAUGCCCGGCGCGGUGUUGCACACGCGCUCUUCGUAGCCUCGGUUCACCUUUGACCCGCCGGCCGCCCUUGAGCCGGGGCCGCCGGACCAGGAAGCUGGAGCUCGCGCCCCCCAAGGCAGAGCAGCAGUCAUGGCCAAGUACCUGGCCCAGAUCAUUGUGAUGGGGGCACAGGUGGUGGGCAGGGCCUUCGCCCGGGCCCUGCGGCAGGAGUUUGCAGCCAGCCGGGCAGCAGCUGACGCCCGGGGACGCGCUGGACACCAGUCUGCAGCCGCCUCCAACCUCUCUGGCCUCAGCCUCCAGGAGGCACAGCAGAUUCUCAAUGUCUCCAAGCUGAGCCCUGAGGAGAUCCAGAAGAACUACGAACAUCUGUUCAAGGUGAAUGAUAAAUCUGUGGGCGGCUCCUUCUACCUGCAGUCAAAGGUGAGAGCCCUCAGGUCUGUUUGGAUUUGCCCUCCAGGCCAUGCACGGGCCAGGAGCUCCCAACGAUGCAAGAGGGGCUGGGACCAGAGUGUCACCCUGUCCUUCAGAAGCUCCAGACCCAGGCGGGCAGGACUCAGUGAGCAAGGAAGAGAGCCCUCACCAGGAACUGAAUCAGCCACCGCUUUGAUAUCUUGGACUGCCUCUAGAACUGUGAGAAGUAAAUCAGAUGAGGAGACCGAGGCUCAGAGGUGCAUCACGGUCCCCAAGCUGGCAGUGCAGGGAUUUUCUCCGCUCCGGCUGCCGGGCCCAGGCCCCGACUGAGGCGGCCAUUCAUUUUUAGCAGAGCCUGCCUUGCUUCGGGCUGCCUCACCAUAGAUGCUGCUGACUCUUCAAACAAGGCUGUGCAGCCCUCAAGCCCCAGGAGCCCUCCAUGUUCUGUCAAGAUGGAGGGGACCACAGGACUGGGGCCUGAGAAUGGCUUCUAGGAGCUGAAAGCAGACCCCAGCCAGUAGCCAGCAAGCCAACAGGACUUCAGUUCUACAGCCAAAAGGAACUGAAUUCUGCUGACAUCCAGUGAGCUUGGAAGAGGAUCAGAGCCUCAGAUUAAAUCGAAGCCAUGGCUGACACCUCGAUUUCAUCUGGUGCAACCCUGAGCAGAGAACCCAGCCAUGCCAUGCCUGAACUGUGUGAUGAUACACAGGUGCUGUUUUAAGCCAAUAGAUUUUUAGAAACUUAUUAUACAGCAACAAGAAACAAAUACAGCAUCUUUCCAAAAAGAAGAAUGGUAUUCUAGACACGUAGGAUAAAAAUGAGAAAAAUCUAUUACUCCCUUUACACGGAGCUAUGUAGAAUCAAAACCUGCAACAGCCCCCCGUGCUUACAAUUCCCCUUCCUGGCUGCAGUUAAACCCACAUUCUUAGGGUUCACAUCUCUCAUGUGACCUUCCAAGCAUAUUUGGAUGAGGGCAGGUUUGUUCUGAGAAGGGCUCUGCUGACAGCACCAUUGGAGCAGGCAGAUCCCACUCUGGCUAAAGAAAGGAGCUCUGAAACCCUCUGCUGUAGGGGAUCCCCAUGAUUUCUGGGGUCCCCUGGACUUCUGGCCAUUUUUAGGGUUAAUAAAGCCAUUUUAAAAAUAACAGCUUUAUGGCUUUUUCUGGCUAGGCCGAGGGGUAGCUUCGAAUAUUGAAGGACACAGCCUCUGGAAUUCUUGCCUUUUGCAAGAUUGAAAUCAUGGCAGGUCCAGAAACUGAUGCCUAAUUCCAUUUCACUGGUAUCAAACAAUACUUCAACUCUUACAUACUCACAAGUAGAAUGAAUUGUGUAUUGGCCACGUAUGGAGGCAUUGCUUUGCUGGUCUUACUCUUCAAGUUCAGGUCUAAAAAAACUCCAGCUGUGAAAGCAAGAUAAAAGAUUUCUAA